rnacentral:rRNA from 1 species
AUGACAUACUUUUUAGCUUGGAGUUCUACUAAAACAAGUGUGUUCACCAUAAAAUCAGCAUAUCAUGCCGUCUGGGAGUCAAAGUUUAGCCACAAUUCGCAGGGUACGCCAUGUUCAUCCUCACCAACACCUAGAUGGGAUUCGGUGUGGAGUUUGAGCUGCCCAACAAAGGUUAAAAAAUUUGUCUGGAGAGCACUUCUUAGUGCUAUUCCAUGUCGUGCAAUACUGGUUGAUAGACAUAUCAAGAUCAAGCCACAUUGUCCAGUAUGUAACCAAGGACUGGAGAGUAUCUGCCAUCUUCUAUUUGAAUGUCCAGUUGCGGUUUAGGUAUGCAAACUCCUUGGAGUGAUGGAUGUGAUACAGAAGGGAUUAGAGAUGAACACAUGUGGGGAGGUUGUAUUGGAAUUUCUUCUUAGUCUACCGAACAAUCAUAUCCAUGUGCUAGGAUUGCCGAAACUGCAAAAAACUAUGGCUACAUGUUGUUGGUUUUUGUGGUGGGAAAGGAGAAAAGUUACACACAGAGGUGAUCCACAAACGGCUCCCCAGAUCAACCUUGCUAUACGAUCCUUGGCAGAGAACUUCAUUGCAGCGAACUCCUCAAGGCCAAAAGUUCAUGUGGGAGGCUGGAUGAAACCAAGGACUGGAUAUGUCAAGUUAAAUGUAGAUGCGAGUUUUGAUCAUGACUUACUUGAAGGUUCAGUAGGUGCUGUCAUUAGAGACCACAACGACAAGUUCAUAGCUGCCGCGAAUGAAAAACUUGAAAUUUGUUAUGAUGCCUUCACAGCAGAAGCAUUGGCAAUCAGAUUUGGCCUAAAUCUCGCUCGCACAACUGGAUGUAGCAAAGUUGAAGUUAAUUCAGAUAAUGUGGAGGUAAUCUCAGCACUCAGAGAGGGCUACUCUUCUUCAAUGGCCAGCGCGAUAUUUGAUGAUUGUUAUUUGAUGUCCUUAGAUUUUAGUCAUAUUAUUUUUGAGCAUUGUUUUAGAGAGAACAAUAAAGUAGCCCACAAAUUAGCUAGACUAGCUAGAUUCACUCCUCCUAAUGUAUGGAUGGAUGCAGCCCCGAUGGCUGUCAUCCCCCUCAUUGUCUCAUAUGCUACAAUUGUAGCUAAUUAA